GACGUAGGGCGCGAGCGUUGUCCGGAUUUAUUGGGCGUAAAGAGCUCGUAGGCGGCUUGUUGCGUCGGCUGUGAAAACCCAUGGCUCAACCGUGGGCUUGCAGCCGAUACGGGCAGGCUAGAGUUCGGUAGGGGAGACUGGAAUUCCUGGUGUAGCGGUGAAAUGCGCAGAUAUCAGGAGGAACACCGGUGGCGAAGGCGAGUCUCUGGACAUUUCCUGACGCUGAGGCACGAAAGCCAGGGGAGCAAACGGG
rnacentral:rRNA from 1 species